UACGUAGGGGGCUAGCGUUGUCCGGAAUCAUUGGGCGUAAAGCGCGUGUAGGCGGCCCGGUAAGUCCGCUGUGAAAGUCGGGGGCUCAACCCUCGAAAGCCGGUGGAUACUGUCGGGCUCGAGUGCGAAAGAGGCGAGUGGAAUUCCUGGUGUAGCGGUGAAAUGCGCAGAUAUCAGGAGGAACACCGAUUGCGAAGGCAGCUCGCUGGGACGUUACUGACGCUGAGACGCGAAAGCGUGGGGAGCAAACAGG
rnacentral:rRNA from 1 species